rnacentral:rRNA from 1 species
GAUGAACGCUGGCGGCGUGCCUAAUACAUGCAAGUCGAGCGAACGGACGAGAAGCUUGCUUCUCUGAUGUUAGCGGCGGACGGGUGAGUAACACGUGGAUAACCUACCUAUAAGACUGGGAUAACUUCGGGAAACCGGAGCUAAUACCGGAUGAUAUUUUGAACCGCAUGGUUCAAAAGUGAAAGACGGUCUUGCUGUCACUUAUAGAUGGAUCCGCGCUGCAUUAGCUAGUUGGUAAGUUAACGGCUUACCAAGGCAACGAUGCAUAGCCGACCUGAGAGGGGGAUCGGCCACACUGGAACUGAGACACGGUCAAGACUCCUACGGGAGGCAGCAGUAGGGAAUCUUCCGCAAUGGGCGAAAGCCUGACGGAGCAACGCCGCGUGAGUGAUGAAGGUCUUCGGAUCGUAAAACUCUGUUAUUAGGGAAGAACAUAUGUGUAAGUAACUGUGCACAUCUUGACGGUACCUAAUCAGAAAGCCACGGCUAACUACGUG